rnacentral:rRNA from 1 species
UACGUAGGGGGCAAGCGUUAUCCGGAUUUACUGGGUGUAAAGGGAGCGCAGGCGGCACGGCAAGCCUGAUGUGAAAGCCCGCGGCCCAACCGCGGGACUGCAUUGGGAACUACCGGGCUGGAGUGCCGGAGAGGUAGGCGGAAUUCCUAGUGUAGCGGUGAAAUGCGUAGAUAUUAGGAGGAACACCAGUGGCGAAGGCGGCCUACUGGACGGUGACUGACGCUGAGGCUCGAAAGCGUGGGGAGCAAACAGG